rnacentral:lncRNA from 1 species
ACCACUUGACAUCUCAGACUUCCUCUAGAUGUUCUCCAGAACCAAAUGGUCUUUGCAUCCUCAGAAUGCCUAACAGUUGGGACUGGGGAGAGAACUCCUUCGUUAAAGUGCUUCUAGUGCAAGUCUGAGGAUAUGAGUUCAAAUCCUAGGUACUCAGAGAAAAGCCAAGUGCGAUGACAUGAAUGUGUAACCCAAGCACUGGAUGAGUGGGCUAGAACUUACUAGCCAGUUUAGCCUAGCCAAAUUGGUGAGCUCGACGUUCAGUGAGAGAACCUAUCUCAAAAGUUACCAUCUUUGUUCCAAACAACUCACCUUUUGCCAGUG